UAGCCCAGCGAAAGUUUGGAUUAAUGCUCCAUGUGAGUUUUUAGAGGCAUCUCUUUAAUUUGAAACGUAAGGAUUAUGGGUGAGCAACGCUUCUGAUUUAGGGUAGUUUGGUGAGGUAACGGCUCACCAAGCCGACGAUCAGUAGGGGUUCUGAGAGGAAGGUCCCCCCACAUUGGAACUGAGACACGGUCCAAACUCCUACGGGAGGCAGCAGUGAGGAAUAUUGGUCAAUGGGCGAAAGCCUGAACCAGCCAAGUCGCGUGAAGGAUGAAGGUUCUAUGGAUUGUAAACUUCUUUUAUACGGGAAUAAAGCCCGCUACGUGUAGCGGUUUGUAUGUACCGUAUGAAUAAGCAUCGGCUAACUCCGUG
rnacentral:rRNA from 1 species